rnacentral:lncRNA from 1 species
UUGUGAAUUCUCAUCCAGUAAUGCUCUUUAUGAAAGGAAGCCCUGAGGAACCUAGAUGUGGUUUUAGCCGGACAGUAGUCGACAUCUUGAUGAAAGAAAAGAUCAAAUUUGGAAGCUUUGAUAUUCUGACGGAUGACGAGGUUCGUGAGGGAUUGAAAAAGUUCUCCAACUGGCCAACAUAUCCUCAACUCUACUGUAAGGGUGAGCUUCUCGGUGGCUGUGACAUUGUAACUGCUAUGCAUGAGAGUGGUGAACUUAAAGAAGUUUUGUUGGAUCAUGGAAUUGAAGCAUCUGAUUCCUCUAAAGCAGAAGCAACAGAACCUGGAAUGGGAAAGGGUGGCAUCUCUGAGGCCUCUGGUUUGAGUGCAGACCUGAACUCUCGUUUGGAUAGCUUAAUUAAUUCUAGUCCAGUUAUGCUUUUUAUGAAGGGGGAACCAGAUACACCGCGUUGUGGUUUUAGCCGGAAAGUUGUUGAUAUUCUGAGACAAGAGAAAAUAGAUUUUAAGAGCUUUGACAUCCUUACUGAUGAUGAAGUCCGUCAAGGCCUAAAAGUUUACUCAAACUGGUCCAGCUAUCCUCAGCUGUACAUAAAGGGUGAACUGAUUGGUGGAUCUGAUAUUGUGUUGGACAUGCAAAAGAGUGGAGAGCUCAGUAAGGUUCUUGCAGAGAAAGGUAUUCCUAAUGGGAUCACC